GACGAACGCUGGCGGCGUGCUUAACACAUGCAAGUCGAACGGUGAAGCGCCUUCCUUUUUGGUGGGUGUGGAUGAGUGGCGAACGGGUGAGUAACACGUGAGUAACCUGCCCCCUUCUUCUGGAUAACCGCAUGAAAGUGUGGCUAAUACGGGAUAUUCUGGGUCUGUCGCAUGAUGGGUCUGGGAAAGAUAUUGUUUCGGUGGGGGAUGGGCUCGCGGCCUAUCAGCUUGUUGGUGGGGUGAUGGCCUACCAAGGCGGUGACGGGUAGCCGGCCUGAGAGGGUGGACGGUCACACUGGGACUGAGACACGGCCCAGACUCAUAAGGGAGGCAGCAGUGGGGAAUAUUGCACAAUGGGCGCAAGCCUGAUGCAGCGACGCCGCGUGAGGGAUGGAGGCCUUCGGGUUGUGAACCUCUUUCGCCAGUGAAGCAGGCCUGCCUCGUUUGUGGGUGGGUUGACGGUAGCUGGAUAAGAAGCGCCGGCUAACUACGUG
rnacentral:rRNA from 1 species